rnacentral:rRNA from 1 species
CCUACGGGAGGCAGCAGUGGGGAAUAUUGCACAAUGGGCGCAAGCCUGAUGCAGCCAUGCCGCGUGUAUGAAGAAGGCCUUCGGGUUGUAAAGUACUUUCAGCGGGGAGGCGUUACCCGCAGAAGAAGCACCGGCUAACUCCGUGCCAGCAGCCGCGGUAAUACGGAGGGUGCAAGCGUUAAUCGGAAUUACUGGGCGUAAAGCGCACGCAGGCGGUCUGUUAAGUCAGAUGUGAAAUCCCCGGGCUCAACCCGGGAACUGCAUUUGAAACUGGCAGGCUUGAGUCUCGUAGAGGGGGGUAGAAUUCCAGGUGUAGCGGUGAAAUGCGUAGAGAUCUGGAGGAAUACCGGUGGCGAAGGCGGCCCCCUGGACGAGCUGACGCUCAGGUGCGAAAGCGUGGGGAGCAAACAGGAUUAGAUACCCUUGUAGUC